UACGUAGGGUGCAAGCGUUAAUCGGAAUUACUGGGCGUAAAGCGUGCGCAGGCGGUUAUGUAAGACAGUUGUGAAAUCCCCGGGCUCAACCUGGGAACUGCAUCUGUGACUGCAUAGCUAGAGUACGGUAGAGGGGAUGGAAUUCCGCGUGUAGCAGUGAAAUGCGUAGAUAUGCGGAGGAACACCGAUGGCGAAGGCAAUCCCCUGGGACCUGUACUGACGCUCAUGCAC
rnacentral:rRNA from 1 species